GCGUUGGUGGUUCAGUGGUAGAAUUCUCACCUUCCAUGCGGGAGACCUGGCUUCAAUUCCUGGCCAGAGCA
rnacentral:tRNA from 1 species